CACGUAGGGGGCGAGCGUUGUCCGGAUUUAUUGGGCGUAAAGGGCUCGUAGGCGGUUUGGCAAGUCGGGUGUGAAAUUUCGAGGCUCAACCUCGAAACGCCACUCGAUACUGCCAUGACUGGAGUCCGGUAGAGGAGUGUGGAAUUCCUGGUGUAGCGGUGAAAUGCGCAGAUAUCAGGAGGAACACCAACGGCGAAGGCAGCACUCUGGGCCGGUACUGACGCUGAGGAGCGAAAGCGUGGGGAGCAAACAGG
rnacentral:rRNA from 1 species